rnacentral:rRNA from 1 species
UACGAAGGGGGCUAGCGUUGUUCGGAAUUACUGGGCGUAAAGGGCGCGUAGGCGGCGUGUCAAGUCAGGCGUGAAAGCCCCGGGCUCAACCUGGGAACCGCGCUUGAGACUGGCAUGCUCGAGUUCGGGAGAGGAUGGUGGAAUUCCCAGUGUAGAGGUGAAAUUCGUAGAUAUUGGGAAGAACACCGAUGGCGAAGGCAGCCAUCUGGACCGACACUGACGCUGAGGCGCGAAAGCGUGGGUAGCGAACAGG